UCAUUUCUCUGUUUGACAGGCAUUCGAUCAGUGAGCUUCUAUGAACACAUCAUCACAGUGGGAACAGGGCAUGGUUCAUUACUGUUUUAUGAUAUCAGAGCCCAGAGGUUCCUGGAUGAAAGGCCCCCACGUGCCUGCUAUGGACAGAAGCAGAAAUUAGGAGGAAGUGAAAUUCUGAAGCUGACUACAGGGAAAGGUUGGCUGAAUCAUGAUGAAACCUGGAGGAAUUAUUUUUCUGAAAUUAAUUUCUUCCCAAAUGCUGUUUACACCCACUGCUACGACUCAUCUGGAACAAAGCUCUUUGUGGCAGGCGGCCCUCUUCCUUCAGGACUUCACGGGAAUUACGCUGGUCUCUGGAGCUAAUGAUAACUCUUUACAAAUGCUGAUCCUUACGCAGUUUUCUACUUUCUUUUCCUUUGUUUUAACAUUGAAUGAAAUUGUGUGAUGCCAUUGAAUUUUGGUUUAAAUGCAAGUUAUUUUUUUGUCAGAGUUUUCUGUUGGCUUUCAGCAGAGCUCCAACAUCUCUUUGAACCAGUUGUUUGUUUUAAUCUCCUUGAUCCUUUAUAUGAUGGGCAUUUGAUAUCUGUUUUUAUUUUAUUUACUCCAAAUGACUCCCCACAUUUAGGUUAUCUUGGCCACAUGCCCCCUCCCCUACUUUGCUGCGAGGUAGGAUUCCUUUCUAAUAGAGUGGUUGCUCCUGCACUUUCUGUGAAAGUCUGGGGGCUGUGUGUGUGCAGGUACUUUUUGUCAGUUACAUUACCUGGAGUGAGGACUACUUGUAAUUAAAAAAUAUUAAAAAUAUUUAUAAGAGAUAAGCUACUUUAUCUGCAGAGCCUGGCCCUGGCCUGGGUUGAUCUUAUUUUUUAAAAGUACAAGUCUAAUGAUUCUGUUUAUAUGUAAAGGAAUACAGUAAUUUUAAGCUGUACUCAUUGGAGCCCAGGGAUAGACUCCCCAGGGGUAUUACCCAUCAAGCCCAAACUGCAGAAGCACAGGAGUUCUCAAAAGUGCAUUUACAUUUUAAUUGUAGUUUUCAGCAGUGCCAGGAGCAAAAACAUGAUCUUCUGUUCCUGUAUUUGAUCCAGGUAUCAGCUUGCACAGCUGGAGUUUGAACAGGCUGUUCUGCAGUGUGGCUGUUGUAGAAUAACAUUACAUUGAGGGGCCUGCAGUGGUGAUGAAAGGAAAUGGGGGCUAGGGAUACGAGUUUUAAUGACAAGAAAAAAUGAACUAAACUAUUUUCCAAGCAAGCCAAGGUUCCCAAGUAUGCUGCUGUGGUAGCUCAUGGGUUAUUUUCAGACAGUCUAAAGCCCAGGUUUUUGUCCCAGGUUAUAGAAUUUUUUUUCCAUUUUAUAUCUGUUCUGGUUGCUAGGGUUGUUAGCUAUCUGCUCUCAUAAGCUAAUGGAAUAAAGAAACUAUUUUUUCCUCUAAGGUUAAAGAGCGUGUCUCAGACUUGUCUAACGCAGGCUAAAAGCUUACACAUAGCAAGGUAACUUGCUGUUAGCUCAUGUUGCGUUAGUAUCCGCUGUCAUCUAGCUUGCAGCAGGAGGUGUUCAGUCUUUCCCCAGACUCCCCUACUGCCUUCUCUGUUUGAACUCCCUUGGAUUUUACUUGAGACUGUGGGUGGGGAGAACAGAUCCAGUGCCUUUUGGGUCCAGCUGUGAAGUGUAUGCACUUAGGUAUGGUGAUCUUAUCUAAUACUAGGCUAAAAUGCAGGGCUCCAGAGUGCUACUCCUGGCCUUCCAGCAGGCACCAGGAACUCUUGCCUUGUUACCAUCUUCUGCUGGAAUGAAUGCUGGAGCAGAGUGCAUGCCUUGGCCUCACUGCUUUGGUGCCAAAUGAGCAGUUGAAGCUGAGGAGAAAAGGCAAGACUGGGACAUGCUCUUUUCUUCUAUCUCUGCUGGAGAUUACAGCUGCCAUGGUAGAGUGACUCUAGUUUCUGCAAGAGUUCCUGCCAGAUUUAUCAGAGCUACUUACCACAGUCUGAUUGCGUCCUUACAGUCCCUCUUGUCUUUGUGCGCAGCAUCUCCAUCAAUAAUGCCAAGUAGUGAGACCCUGACUUACAUCUUUUGCUGAUGGGAUUACACAAUGUAAUAGUGUGUUCCUGAGGGGGGGAAACAGGCUGGUUUAUCUGGCAUUAGGCAGCAAGGAUGGAAGGUAACUAAUUGUAGCAGACCUUCAGUCCUCUCUUCCUGCUAUUCAACUUUUCAGGAAUAUGGGAUCUCGUGCUGCUAUUGAUUGUAGGAAGCUGUUCAUUUUACUUCUUGCCUCUUUUAAGUAGACUACAUUUUUCAUAUUUAUAAUCACAUGCAAUCAAACUAUUGAAUUUUAUGUUCAGUAAUGCCCAGUUUGCAGUACUGGGAAACAAGCCCUAAACAACAAUCAAGUGUUAAGUAACAGACAUUCCCAUGGAAACUGAAGCUACAAUGCUUGAGCAUAGCAUUGUUGGUGAUGCCCACUCUCUUCACAGACACCUUGUUCCUGGUCAUUCCUCCAGCCUUCCCUGUUGUACUGUCAGCUCAGCCAAGGAGAAGUGCUACUGUUCUCCCAAGGUGUUUUCUGGGACUGUUGUAAAUCACUGAGUCCAUUGUAUUGUCCCUUCAUCAGUGCUACUGGUGUUAGUCCAAGGUGAGUAAAUUACCAAAGAAUAGUAAAUAGAUGUUUGUUCAUAGUCUCAAUUGUUCAUUUUCCACAUAGAUCCAUUUAAAAAUACUUUGGAAGAGUGCCCAGAGACGUGACCAGAUUUAGUCUAUUCACAAAGGUUACAUUCGUAUUGUGAGUGAUUCUUGUGACUCCCUUAAUGAGGGAGACUUCUGAAUUUUAUUAUGGGGAUAUUUGUGCUGCCUCUGUUUGAGGUCUUUGGCAGCAUUUUUGUAUUUUAAGGAUUAAGAUAAUUGUGUAUCAGUUACUCUUCUGUAGAAUUUCAAUCUCUUUCUUCACUUGAGCACUUGCUUUGUGUAUAGCUUGCAGCUGCAGAGUUACAUAAUUAAAGUUGUGUUCCAUCUAUAUUGAGUGGUGGUUUGGUGUCUUACUUUUUGCCCAUCAGCGGUGAGGGACUGACCUUGUGAUGAACAGAUUUCCCUCACCUGGUGCAAAUGUAAAAUAAAGUAGGCUUAUCUAGA